UGACGUCAAGUCAUCAUGGCCCUUACGGCCUGGGCUACACACGUGCUACAAUGGUCGGUACAAAGGGUUGCCAAGCCGCGAGGUGGAGCUAAUCCCAUAAAACCGAUCGUAGUCCGGAUCGCAGUCUGCAACUCGACUGCGUGAAGUCGGAAUCGCUAGUAAUCGUGAAUCAGAAUGUCACGGUGAAUACGUUCCCGGCCUU
rnacentral:rRNA from 1 species